rnacentral:rRNA from 1 species
CACCGGCAGCCCAAGUGGUGGCCAUGUUUAUUGGGCCUAAAGCAUCCGUAGCUGGCCAAGUUAGUCCCCUGUUAAAUCCACCGAUUUAAUCGUUGGUGUGCGGAGGAUACUGCUCGGCUAGGGGACGGGAGAGGCAGACGGUAUUUCCGGGGUAGGGGUGAAAUCCUAUAAUCCCGGGAGGACCACCAGUGGCGAAGGCUGUCUGCUAGAACGCGCCCGACGGUGAGGGAUGAAGGCUGGGGGAGCGAACCGGAUUAGAUACCCGGGUAGUCCCAGCUGUAAACGAUGCAGGCUAGGUGUUUGGACGGCCACGUGCCGUUCUAGUGCCGCAGGGAAGCCGUUAAGCCUGCCGCCUGGGGAGUACGGUCGCAAGGCUGAA